UUAAGUGGCGGACGGGUGAGUAACGCGUGGGUAACCUGCCUUGUACUGGGGGACAACAGUUGGAAACGACUGCUAAUACCGCAUAAGCGCACAGCUUCGCAUGAAGCAGUGUGAAAAACUCCGGCGGUACAAGAUGGACCCGCGUCUGAUUAGCUGGUUGGUGAGGUAACGGCCCACCAAGGCGACGAUCAGUAGCCGGCCUGAGAGGGUGAACGGCCACAUUGGGACUGAGACACGGCCCAAACUCCUACGGGAGGCAGCAUG
rnacentral:rRNA from 1 species